CGAAAUGCGAUAAGUAAUGUGAAUUGCAGAAUUCAGUGAAUCAUCGAAUCUUUGAACGCACAUUGCG
rnacentral:rRNA from 6 species